rnacentral:lncRNA from 1 species
GAUUUCAAUUCUUACAAAUGUUACUUUAGAUCAUUCUGCCACUGAAACAGGACGUUUUCUUCUGCAUUUGCUGGUGGUCAGACAACAAAUGCACUCUGCUUGCAAUUGGAAACAUGGGCCAGAUCCUUAGCUUAGCUUAGCUUAGCAUCUGUCUGCAGGACAGUGGUCCAUGCAGGCUCCUUGAACCACGAGGCUCACCAUGGAAACAGCUGUCUUUGUCAGCUGCCCUCCAGAAGCCCGACAGUGAGCCCCACGCUGCAUCCAUGGAUGAGAGCUCAGAACACCCACAAAAUAUAUAUGGAAGGACGAGAGGAAAGUGCUGCUAAUGCAGCUAAAGCAGAGACAUAGUCACUGUAGCUCCGAUCUAAGUUCUGGAGUAAUGAUUGAAACCACACUAUACUGGAAAAAUGUAGUUGAAAUCAUAAAUGGUUCUUUCUUCUCUGCCAGCGGCAGCAGAUGUUUGCUGAUGGAAGCUACAGUGAUGUUACACUGGAUGUGAAUCUUCAAUCAUCUUCAAGAGCAAAUAUUCUUCAGGUGUCAUUGUUCGUUGGAAGCAACCGGAUGAAUGGGAGCGUUUGUGACUCGGUGGGAAGCUCGUUCAAUCCCUUCAACAUGACAUCAAAGGUGAGAAAACUACCUACAUGUCUCCUGUCAUGGGAGUCAUAAUAUCUACACAAAAAUAUGGACAAAAAGAACAAAUGAAUGAUAGACUG